CAGUCGCCGCGGGAAUACGUAGGGUGCGAGCGUUAAUCGGAAUUACUGGGCGUAAAGCGUGCGCAGGCGGUUGUGUAAGACAGGUGUGAAAUCCCCGGGCUUAACCUGGGAACUGCGCUUGUGACUGCACAGCUAGAGUAUGGCAGAGGGGGGUGGAAUUCCACGUGUAGCAGUGAAAUGCGUAGAGAUGUGGAGGAACACCGAUGGCGAAGGCAGCCCCCUGGGCCAAUACUGACGCUCAUGCACGAAAGCGUGGGGAGCAAACAGGAUUAGAUACCCGUGUAGUCCCUGUCUCUUAUAA
rnacentral:rRNA from 1 species